rnacentral:tRNA from 1 species
GCCGUCAAUGGCUUAGUGGUAGAGCGCCUGAUAGGUAUUACUUCCAUGAGUAUUGCCCAACUUGGCAGAAGGCUAGGGUUCGAAUCCCUAUAAGGCA